rnacentral:rRNA from 1 species
UACAGAGGGGGCAAGCGUUGUUCGGAAUUAUUGGGCGUAAAGGGUGCGUAGGCGGUGCGGUAAGUCUUCUGUGAAAUCUACGGGCUCAACUCGUAGUCUGCAGGAGAAACUGCCGUGCUUGAGUAUGGGAGAGGUGAGUGGAAUUCCUGGUGUAGCGGUGAAAUGCGUAGAUAUCGAGAGGAACACCUGCGGCGAAGGCGGGUAGCUGGGCCGACACUGACGCUGAUGCGCGAAAGCCAGGGGAGCGAACGGG